rnacentral:lncRNA from 1 species
GCCCUGGAUUGGGUCUCCUGACAUCAUGAGGUUCCGGUUCUGUGGCGAUCUGGACUGUCCCGAUUGGGUCCUAGCAGAGAUCAGCACACUGGCCAAAAUUGUUAAGUGCCCUGGUUCACUUAGGGUUGGGAGGAGAGCGGCCUGAGGGUGGAAGGAGGAGAUUGGGACUGGGAGCUGGGGGGGCUGCGGUGGUGAAAGGAUCUCCCUGAGGAUGGCAUCUCCAUGCUCUGUGGCCUUGUCACGUGGCUGGCCCUCCUUCAGCCAGUCCCCCAGCAAUGAGGGGUAAGGUAGGUUAGUCUUGCUGAAACCGGGACGUCCUUUUCAGUCCUCUGUGAAGCUGCGGCUACUGUGUAGCCAGGUGCUAAAGGAGCUUCUGGGACAGGGGAUUGACGUGAGUACAGGACCCAACAUCGCACUGUCCGAUAACCUUAUGAGGCCCGGAACACUCUGUUCUUCAGCCUCCCCCCUUGGGUAUCCCCUUCUUUCUCUAGCCCCAGCCCAUUCUCACCACAGGAUGUGGGCCGGGGGCAAGGGGCUGGUGACAGGGCUCUGGUACCCCCAUAGGAUCUCCUUUCCCCAUAGUAUGAGAAGAUCCUGAAGCUUACUGCUGAUGCCAAGUUCGGUGAGUACCCUGAGCUGGGAACCACAGCCUUCCGUGACCCUCCUGCUUCAGUGGUGAAUAGUAUGGGGAAAAA